AGUGAGACCAAGUUGACUGUGCCAUUUCUUGAUCUGUAGCCAAGACCAGGGGUCCUGUAGUUUCCCAUGUGAGUGAGGACCUGCC
rnacentral:pre_miRNA from 1 species